GGGGCUACACAUGCAAGUCGAACGGUAACAGGAAGCAGCUUGCUGCUUCGCUGACGAGUGGCGGACGGGUGAGUAAUGUCUGGGAAACUGCCUGAUGGAGGGGGAUAACUACUGGAAACGGUAGCUAAUACCGCAUAACGUCGCAAGACCAAAGAGGGGGACCUUCGGGCCUCUUGCCAUCGGAUGUGCCCAGAUGGGAUUAGCUAGUAGGUGGGGUAACGGCUCACCUAGGCGACGAUCCCUAGCUGGUCUGAGAGGAUGACCAGCCACACUGGAACUGAGACACGGUCCAGACUCCUACGGGAGGCAGCAGUGGGGAAUAUUGCACAAUGGGCGCAAGCCUGAUGCAGCCAUGCCGCGUGUAUGAAGAAGGCCUUCGGGUUGUAAAGUACUUUCAGCGGGGAGGAAGGCGAUAAGGUUAAUAACCUUGUCGAUUGACGUUACCCGCAGAAGAAGCACCGGCUAACUCCGUGCCAGCAGCCGCGGUAAUACGGAGGGUGCAAGCGUUAAUCGGAAUUACUGGGCGUAAAGCGCACGCAGGCGGUCUGUCAAGUCGGAUGUGAAAUCCCCGGGCUCAACCUGGGAACUUGCAUUCGAAACUGGCAGGCUAGAAGUCUUGUAGACGGGGGGUGGAAUUCCAGGUGUACGUCGGUGAAAUGCGUAGAGAUACUGGAGGAAUACCGGUGGCGAAGGCGGCCCCCUG
rnacentral:rRNA from 1 species